rnacentral:lncRNA from 1 species
CCCGCGCCGACUUUCACACUUUGUGUUCAGUUCUAAUCGAUCAUUUGCUUGUAUACUUACAGAUACACGAUGGCGCUUAGACGAGUUUUUGGUGUUGCGAAGGUUGUUCUGGCGAAGAUCUGGCUGUGCUUUGCUUGCGGAGAGGCGGCGGAGUUAUAAUUAAAAGUAAAGAGUUCAGUUGUCAGCUGUGGACCUGUUGGCUUUGAAGAAUGUGAGAUUCAGGAAGAAUGUGUUACAUCACUUUGCAGCAAUUGUGGACAGAGCUAAGAUGGCAGUUGCUACAAGUACUGAAGGGAAAUGUGGACGAGAGGGAUUAAAAAUGCAGGUGAGAAUGGAAUGGACAAACAGAUGUCAUGUUGGUCAGAAUGAGGUUGACCGAUGCAAAGCAAAACAAGAACCAUAAGAUGUAAAAUAUGGACGAGGAGGGAUGAUGAUUCACAAGACUCCUUUGAAGAUACAGGAGAGAAUGGAAUGGACAAAUAGAUGACAUGCUGGCCAGAAUGAGACUGACAGAUGAAAAGCGUAAACAAGAACAAUAAGAUGGUGGGUAUGUAUAGUUGCAAAUUAACAGAGUAUUUUCUAACUUCUAAAUAUUUCAGGGAAAGGUGGAUGAGAGAGAUUAAUGAAGCAGGAGAAAAUGGAAUGGACAAACAGAUGACAUGCUGGUCAGAAUGAGACUGACAGAUGAAAAGCCUAUACAAGAACAAUCAGAUGGUGGGUAUAAAAAGUUGCAAAUUAUGUGAGUAUUUUCUAACUUCAAAAUAUUUCUGGGUCAUGUUAAGGAGAGAGAUCAACAAUGCAGGUGAGAAUGGAAUGGACAAAAGGACGACAUGCUGGUCAAAUAAAAUAAAGUUGACUGAACGAACCAUGAGAUGGUAGGUAUAUAUAAUUGUAAAUUUAGGAAGUAUUAUCUAACUUCUUAAUAUAUUGUAUUUCAGGGAUUCUAAAUUCUUAAUAUUUCAGAGAAAUUUGGACGGGUAGGGAUGAUGAUUUGCAUGAUUACUUUGACAAUACAGGAGAGAAUCGAAUGGACAACAGAUGACAUUCUGGUCAGAAUGAAGUUUACAGAUGAAAAUGUGAACAAGAACCAUGAGAUGGUGGGUUUAUGUAUUUGCAACUUAAGGGAAUAUUUUCUAACUUCUAAAUAUUUCAGGGAAAUGUGGACGAGAGAGAUUAACAAAGCAGGAGAGAAUGGAAUUGACAAAUAGAUGACAUGCUGGUCAGAACGAGGUUGACAGAUGAAAAGCAUAAACAAGAACCAUGAGAUGUUAGGUAUACAUGUAUAUAAUUUCAAAUUUAGGGAGGAUUUUCUGAUUUUUAAAUAUUGUAGGGAUUCUAAAUUCUUAUUGUUUCAGAGAAAUGUGGAUGAGUAGGGAUAAUGAUUUGAUUGAUUCCUUUGACGAUACAUGGGAGAAUGGAAUGAACAAGCAGGUGACAUGCUGGUCAGAAUGAAACUGACAAGAUGAAAAAUGUGAACAAGAACCAGGAGAUGGUGGGUAUAUAUACAUGUAAUUGCAAAUUAAGGGAGUAUUUGCUAACUUUUUUAUUUUCAGGGACUCUGAAUUCUUAAUAUUUCAGAGAAAUGUGGACAGGUAGAGAUAAUGAUUUGCAUGAUUCCUUUCACAUUACAGGAGAGAAUCGAACGGACAAGCAGAUGACAUUCUGGUCAGAAUGAAGCUUACAGAUGAAAAUGUGAACAAGAACCAUGAGUUGGUGGGUAUAUAUAAUUGCAAAUUUAGGGAGUAUUUGCUAACCUUUUAAUAUUUCAGGGAUUCUAAAUUCUGAAUAUUUCAGGGAAAUGUGGACGAAUAGGGAUAAUGAUUUCAUGAUUCCAUUUACAGUACAGGAGAGAAUGGAAUGGACAAGCAGAUGACAUGCUGGUCAGAAUGAAGCUGGCAGAUGAAAAUGUGAACAAGAACCAUGAGAUGGUGGGUAUGUAUAAUUGCAAAUUUAUGGAGUAUUUGCUUUCUUUUUAUAUAUCAGGGAUUCUAAAUUCUUAAUAUUCCAGGGAAAUGUGGAUGAGUAGGGAUAAUGAUUUCAUUAUUCCAAUUACAGUGCAGGAGGGAAUGGAAUGGACAAGUAGGUGUCAUGCUGCUCAGAACGAAACUUACAUGAUGAAAAAUGUAAACAAGAACCAGGAGAUGGUGGGUAUAUAAUUAUACACGUAAUUGCAAAUUAAGGGAGCCUUUGCUAACUUUUUUAUUUUUCAGGGACUCUAAAUUCUUAAUAUUUCUGGGAAAUGUGGACGAGUAGGGAUAAUGAUAUGCACGAUUCCUUCGACAGUACAGGAGAGAAUGGAAUGGACAAACAGGUGACAUGCUGGUCAGAAUGAAGCUGGCAGAUGAAAACAGUCAACAAGAACAAUGAGAUGGUGGGUAUGUAUAAUUGCAA